GGGACAGUAGGUUGGUCGUGCCACCGGUACGUACUGGUCUCACUGAUUCCUCCUUCCUGAAGAACCGUACUGCCAUUAAUUUGGUGUUGCGGGGAAACAGGACUGUUACUUUGAAAAAAUUAGAGUGUUUAAAGCAAGCUAACGCUUGAAUACAUUAGCAUGGAAUAAUGAAAUAGGACGAUCGAUCCUAUUUUGUUGGUUUCUAGGAUUGACGUA
rnacentral:rRNA from 1 species